AUAAUGGCUUCUAGAGCUGCGUCUCAAUUGAAAUCAAUGGUGAAAAGUGGCUUAGGAGGAAGAUCGACUUUCACGACUUCUACCUUUGCACCAGAUUUGAAGGCCAGAUUGGGAAAGGGUGAUUUUGCACCGGUGAGCAUUGUUGUUGGGAUGGUCGUUGCAGCGACGUCAUUAGGCAUAUAUACGGCCUUGCAUCAGCUCCAUUCGUGCACCUCAAGAAAUCGAGAAGGGAAACUAUACCGGAGAAAGUGACGGCCGAGGCUGAGGAGUUUGCUUUAGGAUGGUAGCUCAUUUGAAGGAGUCAACCAAUUGUGCCUAAUCCCAUUGCAUGUCACAUUUGCUCAACCUAUAUAAUUAAAAUCUACUAUAUUCUUGAGUAAUUUUAAUACAUUACACACAUUUUUCCUAA